GUUCGGCUACAUCACUGGGGCGCCAUGGUGCCUGGAGCUGGGCAGUUUUCUCAUCAGAGUGGGGACUGGUAAGAGUGACCUCCCCGCCAGGUUCUGUGUGUUGCCGGCUGAAGAAGGGUAGCUGAAAAAUUCAGACCCAGCACAGUGUUUAUGUUGGUCAAAAAUAGAAAACUAUGUCUGGCGCGGCCGAGGCGGGAGGACCCUUCAGGCCAAGAGCAGCCUAGCAACAUGGCGCAACCCCAUCUCUGUAGUCCUACCUCAGCCCCCCAGCUACUUGAACCCAAAGGUUCAAGGCUCCAGUGAGCUAUGAUCCCACCACAGCAUUCCAGCCUGCGAGAUUGAGAUGAUGAUUAUUCCCCACCUUCUAAGAGACAAAGACCAACGAGCCACCACAGCCACCAGUCCCAGAACCCGCCAAUGCUGGGGAACGGAAAAUGAGGGAGUUCAACUCUGAGAAAUGGAAUCAUCGUAUCGCUGAUCUACGUAAACAAACUGAAGAAUUGUCUGAAAGAAAAUAUGACAUGAACUUAUGAAUUCAACAGGUGAAGAUUUACAACUUGAUAAAUCAACUUUGUCAGCUCGAGCUGUAAAAGCCAAAGGUCCGGUGAUGAUCCCAUACCCUUUUUUCCAGUCUCAUGUUGAAGAUUUUUAUGUAGAAGGCCUUCCCAAAGGAAUUUUUUUUUUUUUUUUUUGAGAUGGAGUUUUCACUCUUAUCGCCCAGGCUGGGGUGCAAUGGCGCAACCUUGCUGGUCACUGCAACCUCUGCCUCCUGGGUUCAAGAAAUUCUCCUGCCUUAGCCUCCCAAGUCACUGGGAUUACAGGUGCCCACCACCACACCAGGCUAAUUUUUGUAUUUUUAGUGGAGAUGCGGUUUCACCAUGUUGGCCGGGCCAGUCUCGAACUCCUGACGUCAAGUGAUCUUCCCGCCUCGACUCCUGAUAUCAAGUGAUCUUCCCGCCUCGGCCUCCCAGAGUGCUGAGAUUACAGACGUGAACCCAUGCCUGGCCAGGAAUUUUGUUUUUUAGGAAGGCUUUCUACUAAUGGAAUUCCUGGCCUUGAGAGGAUGUUACUUUAGAAGGAAAGGAUUUUUUUGUUAUUAAAAGAGCCACCUAAGCUGAAGAUUCCCUUGAGAACAAGUACUGUCCCUAGUUUCCCAGUGCUGGAAUAUAGAAAAUGGAUGGACAAGUAAAUCCCACUCAGCACCCAUAGUCCAGGCAUGGGGACCUCAACACACCUGAGCCCCAGACAUCACCUUUCAUUCUGGACCUACCAUGAAAGACUUCUGAAUCCAGGAAGAGAAACUGACUGGGCAACAUGUUAUUCAGAGAUGGCAUCUUGCUCUGUUGCUUAGGCUACAGUACAGUGACAUGAUCAUGGUUCACUGUAGCCUCAAACUCCUGGGCUCAAGUGGUUCUCUCACUUCAGUCUCCCAAGUAGCUGGGACUACAGACAUGUGCCA
rnacentral:lncRNA from 1 species